rnacentral:lncRNA from 1 species
CUUUGUGAAGUGCUUUGAGCAAAAUGGCAUUUGGGGAAUUACAUUUACAAAGGAUUUUUGUGGUAAAAAAAAAUUAUCAAAAGAAAAAUUUUAAAAAAUUCACCAGCAAGGGCAACGGCCACCGGCGACCUCCAGCGACCUUCGGCGACCCCGGAUCUAGGGCGGCGAGGUCGCACGACGCCCUCUCGACCUCCGGCGACCCCAGAUCUGGGGCGGCAACGUCACACGACGCCGCCUCAACCUCAGCGACCUAGAUCCGGGGCGCCGAGGUCGCGGGAGGACCUCGCCGCCCUAGAUUUG